rnacentral:rRNA from 1 species
AUUGAACGCUGGCGGAAUGCCUUACACAUGCAAGUCGAACGGUAGAGGGGGCGACCCCUCGAGAGUGGCGAACGGGUGAGUAAUAUAUCGGAACGUGCCCAGUCGUGGGGGAUAACGUAGCGAAAGUUACGCUAAUACUGCAUACGAUCUAAGGAUGAAGGCGGGGGACUCGCAAGAGCCUCGCGCGAUUGGAGCGGCCGAUAUCAGAUUAGGUAGUUGGUGGGGUAAAGGCUCACCAAGCCAACGAUCUGUAGCUGGUCUGAGAGGACGACCAGCCACACUGGAACUGAGACACGGUCCAGACUCCUACGGGAGGCAGCAGUGGGGAAUUUUGGACAAUGGACGCAAGUCUGAUCCAGCCAUUCCGCGUACAGGAUGAAGGCCCUCGGGUUGUAAACUGCUUUUGUACGGAACGAAAAGGUUUCUAUUAAUACUAGGAGCUCAUGACGGUACCGUAAGAAUAAGCACCGGCUAACUACGUGCCAGCCGCCGCCGUAA